GGCUGGCCCAGGUACCCUGGUGUUUACAACUAAUUGUUCACAGCCAGUUACAGAUUUCUUUGUUCCUUUUCCACUCCCACUGCUUCACUUGACUAGCCUAAA
ensembl:Y_RNA Y_RNA Y RNA